GAGGUCCUACGGGAGGCAGCAGUGAGGAAUAUUGGUCAAUGGGCGGAAGCCUGAACCAGCCAAGUCGCGUGAGGGAAUAAGGCCCUACGGGUUGUAAACUUCUUUUAUAAAGGAAUAAAGUGAGGCACGUGUGCCUUUUUGUAUGUACUUUAUGAAUAAAGAUCGGCUAACUCCGUGCCAGCAGCCGCGGUAAUACGGAGGAUCCGAGCGUUAUCCGGAUUUAUUGGGUUUAAAGGGAGCGUAGAUGGGUUGUUAAGUCAGUUGUGAAAGUUUGCGGCUCAACCGUAAAAUUGCAAUUGAUACUG
rnacentral:rRNA from 1 species